rnacentral:rRNA from 1 species
GCUAUCGGAUGAUACUAAGCCAUGCGAGUCUUUGUAGUAAUACAAGGCAGACGGCUCAGUAACACGUAGUCAACCUACCCUAUGGACAAGAAUAAUCUCGGGAAACUGGGCAUAAUUCUUGAUAGAUCAUAAUGCCUGGAAUGGUUUAUGGUUAAAAUGAUUCGUCGCCAUAGGAUGGGACUGCGGCCUAUCAGCUUGUUGGUGAGGUAAUGGCCCACCAAGGCGAUUACAGGUACGGGCUCUGAGAGGAGAAGCCCGGAGAUGGGUACUGAGACACGGACCCAGGCCCUAUGGGGCGCAGCAGGCGAGAAAACUUUGCAAUGUGCGAAAGCACGACAAGGUUAAUCCGAGUGAUUUCUGCUAAAGAAAUCUUUUGCCAGUCAUAAAACCACUGGUGAAUAAGGGGUGGGCAAGUUCUGGUGUCAGCCGCCGCGGUAAAACCAGCACCUCAAGUGGUCAGGAUGAUUAUUGGGCCUAAAGCAUCCGUAGCCGGCUUUGUUAGUUUUCGGUUAAAUCCAUGUGCUCAACGCAUGGGCUGCCGAAAAUACUGCAUGGCUAGGGAGUGGGAGAGGUAGACGGUACUCAGUAGGAAGGGGUAAAAUCCUUUGAUCUAUUGAUGACCACCUGUGGCGAAGGCGGUCUACCAGAACACGUUCGACGGUGAGGGAUGAAAGCUGGGGGAGCAAACCGGAUUAGAUACCCGGGUAGUCCCAGCUGUAAACGAUGCAGACUCGAUGAUGCAUUGGCAUAAUAGCCAGUGCAGUGUCGCAGGGAAGCCGUUAAGUCUGCCGCCUGGGAAGUACGUACGCAAGUAUGAAACUUAAGGAAUUGGCGGGGGAGCAC